GAGCCAUAUCUUCUGGUAUCAAAUCCAUGGAGAUUUGCAAACAACAGCUCAAAAAUUUUGGUGGGAUGGGCCACAACAAGUAGGUUGCUAUUCAUGAGCCAUAAAGGCUAGUCAACCUUUUUAUGUACGCCAUCUUUCGGUGAUCAUGUGGGUGAUUCUUUAUGCCACGAACAAGCCGCAAGAAACAAGCUGUUGUUCAUGAUGUUUGCCUUAUAGGCCUUACUCGUUUGCAUGCGGACUCCAUCAUGCAUUAUUGCAUUUAGCUCAUUAGAGCACAUCUAGUAGUAUUUUUUCUUUGGAAGUUGUCUCGUAUUAGUUUUCAUGUUUGUAUGAGCUUCACUGGAGAAGUUUUCAUCCUUCAUCUAUGCCCGCUAUGUAGUGAGGUGAUGAAGAUGACAAUUAGAGGUGUGCAAAAAGCCAAUCAAACCAUGAGUCCAAUCUGAAUCGAUAAUUUCAAUUUGAUUUAAGUUCAUUUUUGCAUAGCUGAUUCGGUUCCAGCUUCCAAAAUUUUCAAAUUGAAAAAGUCAGGUGUGUAAAAAGCCAAUCAAACCAUGCAUCCAAUCAGAACUGAUGGUUUCAAUUUGAUUUGAGUUCAUUUUUGCAUAGCCGAUUGGAUUCUAGCUUCCAAAUUUUUCAAAUUGAAAAAGUCAGUUUGGUUUCAAUUUGAAUUUUUUUUUAAAGGAAAAUAGAGACUAGCCGUGCAUACCAUUAGGCACCAAAAUUUAUUAAGAAAAAAUAGUUACAAGUUAUUGAGAAGUCAAGGAUGCAUAAGAGAAAGGGGAAAG
rnacentral:lncRNA from 1 species